GUGAAUCAUCAAAUUUUUGAACGCAAAUUGCACCCUCUGGUAUUCCGGAGAGUAUGCCUGUUUGAGGGUCAGUUUAAAUAAAAAUCGGUGUGGUUGCUGCUUUUCGUGGUGACGACCCGGUUUUGGGUGGUUUUGCCUUGGGUUAAGUGACCUAAAAUUUUGCAUGAUUUUUUUGAAAGGAUUUUAAUGGAUUUUACGUACGUUUGGGGUAUGGAAUACUA
rnacentral:misc_RNA from 1 species